GUGAAAUCUCCGGGCUUAACCUGGGAGACUGCGUUUGCGAGACUGCAAGGCUGGAGGCUGGUAGAGGGGAGUGGAAUUCCUGGUGUAGCGGUGAAAUGCGUAGAUAUCAGGAGGAACACCGAUGGCGAAGGCAGCGUCCUGGGCCUGUACUGACGCUCAUGCACGAAAGCGUCGGGGAGCGAACAGGAUUAGAUACCCUGGUAGUCCACGCCGUAAACGAUGUCCACCUAGGGUUGGGAGUAUCUACCCCUCCAUCGACGCAGCUAACGCGAUAAGUUGGACCGCCUGGGGAGUACGGCCGCAAGGUUAAAACUCA
rnacentral:rRNA from 1 species